GUUCAUUUUGCUGAAUGAGACUCAAAGGUCCAAGUUGGUGAAAUGAUCCAAACUUCCAAUCAUAGCCACUACCGAUGAUGCAAGUCUGAAAGAUAUAAUUAGAGAAUAAAGAGGGACAGGUGCACUCAUAGCAUCACUAACUCAACAAUCUAGUAAGGUUUUCCUCAGCGUUUGCAAUGCCUGGACAAAGGAUAUGUCGGGCAGCUGCUCAAAGAUCUCGACUUUGGAGAAGACUGUUGAUUUUAUACUCUAAAAAUAUGGUGAACCCCACAUCCUACUGCCAUCUUAACACAACUGUGCUUCACAAUCUCACUCUUCUCAGUGGGGACAUUGUUGAGCAGGAGGAUGAGGAAGACCAUGAUGACAGCUCUCUGAACCACACAAUCUUGAAGCAAGAGCAGGGGAACAUGUGCGGGACAAUCUGGCUACCACUGUGUCUGCUUCAAACAUUUGUGUGCCUGCUCUACACAAGCACCACUACCUGUAAAACAUUUAAACGGAGGUAAACAUUUUACUAUUCAUGUUGUCAGCUUUCCAUUUCUUGCCAAAUUUCAUUUGUUCACGUCACGUUUAUUUUUUUUUUUAGCUUUAUUACUUUUGUAGUGGGGUAAACCACUGAACUGGUUUAGCCCACAGAAGAAGGUUGCUGGUUCAAAACCACCAGUAUGUCCUUGAGCAAGGCCCUUUUCUCCAGGUUGAUCUAGGGGAUUAUAGGUCCCUGUAAUAAGAGCACUGUAAAUCACUUUGGAUAAAAGCUUCAUGACAUUUUUUGAUGAUGCUUUUGAAGCUUCUGAAAGUCAGUCUUCAUUGUAUGAACAGAAACCAGCAGAACAAACUUGACCAAAAUCACAUCCUCAGUGUCUUUUGGUCUUUCUCUAGAUGUUCUCGCUGGCACUGAGGAUGAAAAGACCACAGCAACAUCCGGUCCAGGUGUGGCAUUAAGAGGUGGAGUGAUGGAGCAUCUCAUCCAUGGCACUGGACCAUUUCCAGGAUGCUGCUGUGGACUCCUCCAUCCUCACACAGCAGUCUGCAAACAUUUCAGAUCAUACAAAAACACCCAAAUAUAAUACAAAACAGCAUUUUAACAGCAUAUUGUCAUCUGAUCUCUGUAUUAGAAGUAACAAAAUUAUCUUACUUCAUCCUUUAGUUUCAGGUUUCUCUUUUUUCCACAAAUGCCGCCGUCACUUUGCCUUGCAAGUCCUGCUCCAACACAAAAGAUCUGCAGCAAAUGCACUGAAAUCAAGAAUAAGAAAAGUGCUGUAAUAGUUGUUUGAAAUUAUAAUAAUUAGAAAAAACUACAACUUAAGAUUUAAAAGAUGUUUUAUUGAUGUCUGUAGUGUACUCACUGAAAGCCUUUGAUGGCAGCAUUCCUUCAUCAGUCACUCUGCACCGGAUAAACACAUGUGUGUCUCAUCUGUUCCUGUAACAUCCAGACAAGAGUCAGUGACCUCUGUGAUUUAUUUGCUCAAUACUGUAUUUACAUGUUGAGUUAGUUGCUGAUGUAACUCACUUUUUAUCCAACACAAAUGUUCCUUAAAUUAUCAAUAUUACAAAUGGACAAAUAAAGUAUCUAACUUAUGUUUACUUACUUUAUGGAGAUUUGAUUAUUUACAUUACUUACAUUCAUCUAAAGCAGUGUUGACAACAGUAAAUUCUACAUAAUAGCACACAUACUGUACAUCACUCACUCAGUCUCAUGUCUAUUAGAUGUGCUCAUCUGCAAUACUUAUCAAAGAUUAUCCUGUCAGAUGUUACAUAGACUUUUAGUAAUCGUCUUUAAGAUGUAUAUACGGUUUAUGUAAAUCCACUUUUGAGAUGUAUGUGUACUUAAUGGAGCUCCCCUUUUAUUUAUGCAUUGCAAAACAUAUUUUUACAGCAAAAUCACAAAUAUGCUAUAUUAUGUAGGUCACAGAUAAGGUUUAGAUUAAGCCAGGAUUAGGCCGUAGUUCAAUUAGGACAUUUAAGUAGCUUUUAUAAGCAUUCCUUGGAUAAAAACACUACUGAUAUGCAUCUUGAGACACUAUAUAUAUAUAUAUAUAUAUAUAUAUAUAUAUAUAUAU
ensembl:lncRNA